UUGCUUGUUAGUGUAAAGUGCAUAAAAAGUUUUGAUCUUUUAAGAGACAGUGCAAUUCUGUUAUAAGUAAU
rnacentral:tRNA from 1 species